rnacentral:rRNA from 1 species
GACAGCAGGGAUGGGCCAGUUUGAACGCGCCCGAUCUCGUCUGAUCUCGGAAGCUAAGCAGGGUCGGGCCUGGUUAGUACUUGGAUGGGAGACCGCCUGGGAAUACUGGGUGCUGUAGGCU